rnacentral:rRNA from 1 species
GAUGAACGCUGGCGGCGUGCCUAAUACAUGCAAGUCGAGCGGACGGGCGCGAAGCUUGCUUCUCUGAUGUUAGCCGCGCACGUGUGUGUCACACGUGUAUAACCUACCUAUCAGUCUGAUAUAUCUUCGGGACACCGGCGCUUAUCCCGUAUGAUCUUUUGCACCACAUGGUUCAAAAGUAAAAUACGGUCUUUCUGUCACUUAUAGAUGGAUCUGCGCUGCAUUAGCUAGUUGGUAAGGUAACGGCUUACCAAGGCAACGAUGCAUAGACGACCUGAGAGGGUGAUCGGCCGCACUGGAGCUGAACCACGGACCAGGGGCCUACGGGACGCAGCAGUAGGGAACCUGCCGCAGUGGGCGAAAGCCUGGCGGAGCAGCGCCGCGUGAGUGAUAAAGGUCUUCGGAGCGGGAAACUCGGUUAUUAGGGAAGAACAUAUUUGGAAGGUAAUGUGGACAGCGUGACGGUACCUAGUCAGAAAGCCACGGCUAACUACGUG